GUAGGGGGCGAGCGUUGUUCGGAUUUACUGGGCGUAAAGGGCGCGUAGGCGGCGCAACAAGUCACUUGUGAAAUCUCCGGGCUUAACCCGGAGCGGCCAAGUGAUACUGUCGUGCUAGAGUGCGGAAGGGGCUACUGGAAUUCUCGGUGUAGCGGUGAAAUGCGUAGAUAUCGAGAGGAACACCUGCGGCGAAGGCGGGUAGCUGGGCCGACACUGACGCUGAAGCGCGAAAGCCAGGGGAGCGAACGGGAUUAGAUACCCCGGUAGUCCUGGCCUUAAACGAUGGAUACUUGGUGUCCGGGGUUACAUAGUCCCCGGGUGCCGGCGCUAACGCAUUAAGUAUCCCGCCUGGGGAGUACGGUCGCAAGACUG
rnacentral:rRNA from 1 species